AUUGAACGCUGGCGGCAUGCUUUACACAUGCAAGUCGAACGGCAGCACGAAAGAGCUUGCUCUUUUGGUGGCGAGUGGCGAACGGGUGAGUAAUGCAUCGGAACGUACCGAGUAAUGGGGGAUAACUGUCCGAAAGGAUAGCUAAUACCGCAUACGCUUUGAGAAGGAAAGCGGGGGCUCUUCGGACCUCACGUUAUUCGAGCGGCCGAUGUCUGAUUAGCUAGUUGGUGGGGUAAAGGCCUACCAAGGCGACGAUCAGUAGCGGGUCUGAGAGGAUGAUCCGCCACACUGGGACUGAGACACGGCCCAGACUCCUACGGGAGGCAGCAGUGGGGAAUUUUGGACAAUGGGCGCAAGCCUGAUCCAGCCAUGCCGCGUGUCUGAAGAAGGCCUUCGGGUUGUAAAGGACUUUUGUUAGGGAAGAAAAGGAUAGUGUUAAUACCAUUAUCUGCUGACGGUACCUAAAGAAUAAGCACCGGCUAACUACGUG
rnacentral:rRNA from 1 species